AACUUUAAUUGAAUGUUCCUUAGGGUAUCUAGUUUGUAAAUUGUAUUUGAAGUUAUGAUCUAUCAACAAACAUGGUCGCCAUUGCUAAAAAUAGAACAUAGGGGUCAAAAACAGUUUUUGGCUUAUAACUCAAAAACCAAAGCAUUUAGAGCAAAUCUGACAUGGGGUAAUAUUGUUAAUCAGGUCAAGAUCUAUCUGCCCUGAAAUUUUCAGAUGAAUUAGACAACCUGUUGUUGGGUUGCUGCCCCUGAAUUAGUAAUUAUAAGGAAAUUUUGCUGUUUUUGGUUAUUAUCUUGAAUAUUAUUAUAGAUAGAGAUAAACUGUAAACAGGAAUAAUGUUCAGCAAAGUAAGAUUUACAAAUAAGUCAACAUGACGGAAAUGGUCAGUUGACCCCUUUAGGAGUUAUUGCCCUUUAUAGUCAAUUUUUAACCAUUUUUCGUAAAUCUUAGUAAUCUUUUACAAAAAUCUUCUCUGAAACUACUGGGCCAAAUACUUCCAAACUUAAACUGAAUGUUCCUUAGGGUAUUUAGUUUGUAAAUUGUAUCCGAAGUUAUGAUCUAUCAACAAACAUGGUCGCCAUUGCUAAAAAUAGAACAUAGGGG
rnacentral:lncRNA from 1 species